UACGUAGGGUGCGAGCGUUAAUCGGAAUUACUGGGCGUAAAGCGUGCGCAGGCGGCUCGCCAAGUCAGGUGUGAAAUCCCCGGGCUUAACCUGGGAAUUGCGCUUGAAACUAGCGGGCUUGAGUGUGGCAGAGGGGGGUGGAAUUCCACGUGUAGCAGUGAAAUGCGUAGAGAUGUGGAGGAACACCGAUGGCGAAGGCAGCCCCCUGGGUCAACACUGACGCUCAUGCACGAAAGCGUGGGGAGCAAACAGG
rnacentral:rRNA from 1 species